CUCUCUUUGUUCCUUCAAUAUAUUUGCUUUUUGUUCACUGUGAUGGUGAGUGUGUGUAUUUUUGUAUUCUAUUGUAUGUGUAUAUAUGUUUAUUUAUGUGAAUCAAAUGAAAAAAUAGAGGCAUGCCCAUAUGGAGUGGGAUGGGUAUGUGUAUAUUCCUAUUUUUCCUUCAAUUCUCCUCCUCCUCUGUUGUGUGGAAUUAUACGGUGUACUGUAUCUAUGAUGUGUGUUUUUCUUAGAUGUGUAUUAGUGUGUGUGUGUGUUGAGUGAAUAUCCGUGUAUUAUGUGAGUUUUUCGUGAGUGCUUUCCUUUUUGUGAGUAUUUUUUUAUGGUCAAUCUUAUUCUGUGAGGUGUCUGUUGUGUUAUGAAUUGUGCAGCUGUGUGUAAAAUGUGAGGAGGUAAGGGUAGGGGGUAUAUAGGGUAGGGGUAGGGGUAGGGGUAGGGGAUAUAUGGGUGUGUGGGUAGGGUAGUGGUUGUUAUUUUUGUUAGGGUGAUGUGUCAAAAGUGAGGUAUUUUUGUUAGGUUAGUUACUUUUUGUCUUUUAUGGGGAGAUUAUUAAAUGGGUAAGGGUGUGUGAUAAUGUGAGGCAAAAAGUGGAUAAAUUGGAUUUUCAGGAGGGAUAAAAUUAGGUGUCUAUAUCUUACUCCUCUUUGGAUGUAAACACAAAGUGUUUGCAGACAAAGAAGUAGACAACGAGAUAGAAUUUUGACCCGACCAUUAUUCGAAUGGGAGAAAU
rnacentral:lncRNA from 1 species